rnacentral:lncRNA from 1 species
CUGGUAUUAUAUAAGAAACCAAAAUUAAAAUUUCAGAUAAGCUUAGAAACUAAAAAAUUUAAAAAUAUUAUUCUGUUCUCCAUAUGUUCAUAUUUAAUAUUAUUUCUUGUUUUCAUUCUUCUUCAGUGUUGCUCUACUAAAAUAUCACAUACAAUAGGUACUUUGGAUUUCCGCUCUUAUUACUCAAAAUUGUACACAUUUUCUCAUGCUCUUAAUUUAGUUAUGCUACUUUUCUUUACUCUUGGAAUUUUCACACUUGUGUUCACUCUCUUUUGAGUUCUCAUAGUAUCAAAUAAGCUUUUUUCCCUCUUUCUGAUUUGAAGGUUCAUCUUCUCAUAAUUAUUUUGUCCGCUCAGUUUCUUUUCAUUCUCAGUUAAGUGCCUCUCAUCUGGCUUUUCAUUUGUAAGGUUUAUUUUCAUCUUAAGCCAGUCUUUUAUUUAUAUUUUGAUUCUGUUUUGUGGAGGACAUACUUCCCUGAAUUUUAAGGAAGAGGCCAAAAGGUUUGUUCAAGUUUUUACCUGAUAGAUUGGAUUAAAUUAUCUAAUGUACACACCCUUAAUUUAAGUCUAGGGGCGACUCUCUACUCUCGAUUUUGUAUAGCAUUAUUUUUCUUAACAUCCAAGUCCAUCUUCAUCUAUUUGUAUAUGAUCAAUAAAAAUAUAUUUGUCCAGAACCCUGCUUUAGUGGAGUUACUUCUUUCUAAGUAGUAGAGGUAGCAGUUGAGACAUGAGCUGGGUUCUGGGUCAGUUUAGAGGGCUGGGCGACAUUCCUCCUUUUGGUCUGUAUGACUGAAUGAAUGCAGUUCUUGCUGUCUCGCUCCUCUCCUUAACACAUUGAGCCAUUGCAGCAGAUGAGAAGGAAUAAUCCUGAUCUGCCACUCAGGUGGAACACAUGUUCUCUCCAACCACAUCCAUAGAUUGUACUCACACUCGGCUAGAAUGUAUCCUGUCAAUGAUAUGGAGAUGUAUCUAUCUAUCUAGAUAGAUAUCUACUUUGGUUUAUGCUCUCUGGUUGCCCGUAAAUUAUCUCCUUAAAGUGAAUAUCAAAAGAGAGCUUGGUGAUGGCAGUGUUAUAAAAUCCUCAAAAUGCAGCACCCACACCCAGAGGUAUUUGUAGAUUCUGGGAUUCUAAUUCAGAUACCAAACUAUAUUAAAGGGGCAUUGGUCAUUGAGGGUUGCUAGGCUCUUUGUGGAGCAUAUUUGCUCUUUUCAUGACUUUGAAAUUAUUUUAAAAAUCUAACGUUUUUCUCAGUCUGCUGCAAGAUGAUUUGAUUUGAAUGUAUAAGCACUAAUUCUCCCCUAAGAUUUGUACAAUAUAUUUGCUCUGACAAGCCAUAACCAGCAACUCACUUCACAGCAAUUUAUAGCAUUUCCACGAUAAGUUGAAUUAUUUUUAACUAGAUUCUCUUUGCCUUAAUCAAAAUAUGAAGAAGCAAUAUACUUGUUCUAGUUAGGUUCAAAAGUUGGCAGUCUCUCUCCUCGAAAGAAUAAUAAAACUUUUCAACGGCCUAAUAUGCAUCUAUAGACACACACACACACGCACACAUGCAAGCACUAUUCAUAAUAUUUAAAGCACAUUCUGUUCUAUGACUUCAUUUGUCUAGCACAAAAUAAAACGAUCUCAGUAUAUGUCAAGUACCAAUUUUUUCGUAUGGCCAAUUAUAGACAUUUUAUUUUUUAAAUAUUAGAGUGUUCUUGAAGCUCUUUCUAUUUCUUUGUCAAUGAACUAAACAUUGGCAAAUAUGUAGGGUUUCCCACAUAAGAACAUUAUUAACAUCAAAAUAGAAAGCUGGUGGUAGAAAUAAUGAUUGGGAACACAGAGUCUCUAUUCAGCAUUCUACUUCUGCCAUACCAUAACUUUGUGAUCUCACGAAAUAUCUCUCCAUGUUGUCAUCCCUAUGUAUAGUUCUGUCAUUUUUCAAUAAGAGCUUUUUGCUUAAUUAUGAAGUACUACUUACUAUAACCAUUAUUUUGAGCUUCAUGUAAAUCAAGAACACCUGGACUCCACUUGCAAAACAUUGAAAAUGUAGUUAGGGAUUGGGGGCAUAAAGCAACAUUUUAAAAUGUGUAAAGACAAUGAGUAAGCAACAAAGUGUCCAAUUUUUUAGGGGAAAGUUGCAUACGUCAGGAAAAGGCAGGAUUAAGUAACAGAGAAUUUGAAUGAUAACUGGCCAAUUGGUGUCGUUUACAAUUGCAAGUCAUACAAAUGAAGUUUGCUUUUUUAAAGAGAAAAGGAGUUAGUUAGAAUGGGUCAACCUAUUGGGGAAGCAAUGUAGUUAGAGACAAUGCCCAAAACCAUGUGAGCAAAUGUUCUGUAGAGCGCACCCCUGCAAUGCUGCCAUUGUGAGGCCAAGUCUCUCCUUGUCUUGGUACUGAGCCCGCCAUUAUGCCUCCAUCAUUGCCACUGUAGCUGCCACAAAAUGAUCCCUCAACCACCGCUGCCCAGGAACAAAGAAAGAAUUCUGUCCUUCCGCGCUCUCAGAUCAAUUUCCAACAUCAGGUGAGCCUUUGAUGGGCACUAUUCAGUUCCCAUAUCCCUGAAAUAGUAGAUUCAAACUCGAUUCCACUGUUUUCAGAAAUCAUGCUCCGAGACAAGUCCUUUUUUUAUCUAACUAUGUUUCUGCCUAUAUUAAAAGACAGAUAUGUCAAUUUUGCUAAUCAUGCUGUUCCAAACCUCUCCAUCCUAUUUUUCGGUUUGUUCUACCAGUCAUUCAGAGACUUACUUAUAUUCAAAUUUCUCUCUAGGUUUAACAUUUGUGUAUGUCUUCUUGUGGUUUUGUCUAUUUUUGCUGUAUAUACUUUAAGACAUUUAUUGACAUAUAUCAUACAUGCAGAAAAGUACAAUGAUUAAAUAUAGAUAGCUUGAUUAAUGAAACACAUGUAUUUGCUUAUAACCAUGUAUGAAAAUAGAACAUUACUAAAAAUAGUGAUACUUCU